GAACUUGAUAAUUGGUGCUUCGCAGUUAUUUGCCUACUUCUCUAUCUCUUUUGUUUUACCCAUCUCUGUCUUUAUCCACCUUUCUGGUGUGUGUGUGUUUGCGUGCGUGUGUCUGUUUGCGCCCGUGUGCAUGUGUUGUCUUCUGUCAAUGUGCUUUUGUUUGUGUGCGUGUGUGUGUUGGCUGUAAAUCUGGUUGUUAUUUUCUUGUACGCUACGCAGUUCGAAUAAGACGAAAGAUUCCAAUAAGACAGAGAAACGCUUGAAAAAAAAGGACAGCGGCCCAUCUAUUUGCAGGGCGGGCUAUGCACACAUGGCGCGUAGUUUUCGUAUUUUUUUGGAAGGUGUAUUCAAUGUAUUUAUGGCCUGUUGUUUGUACACAACGUUCGCAGCAAAUGAAAAAGACAAAUCAUCAUCAAAAGGCAUGUUGUUGGCGAAGGGGAGGGCGAUUAGUUGGUACUUUUUCUUAUGGUGAAAUUUACCGCUGCCAUGUUGUAUUUACUUCUUUUUUUUCUACUGUUUUUUCGUGUGCUGGCACAUCAAAUGCGUUAAUUGACAACAACGAAAAGCGAGUGUGCGUGUGUGUGUGCCAGAGCAGUUGAGUGUGAAAAUAGGCAACGUCCUGUGGCCCAACAAACCACCUUAAAAAAAUUAAAAACCAAAAAAAAAAGAACAACAUAAAAAGGAAAUCAAACUCCCGCCGCCUUAGGCUUUGUAUUAUUUCGAGUUUUGUUUUGUGCAAAGAGCUGCGCGCUCAUUUGCGCCAUGCUCCACUUAACGUGCAACAAUUUUCCAUCUGCGACGUCGCCACCAGGCGAACAACCUGCAUAUAUCAAUUGAAAUCGCUGAUUGGGGCGCAAAAGCUCAUUGUUUUUGUCGCAAUUUGCAAUUGAAACGCAAACGCUGGAGCUGCUUAAUAAUUUGUAACGUAGAUAACAGAAACAACAUUACCAAGCUGGCAACUCGUCGUUUGCCACCGUUCUUUCGCUUUCGCGCGUUUCUGCGACAGGUGGCAACAUUGCUGCCACCGGCUAACGGCACUUUUCAGUUUUCAUUUCGCAAUUUCCCAAUAAGAAAACACAUACAUAGUUUGCUGUGGGGAGGGGGGCUUGGAUGGUGUGGUAAGUGGGGAAAAUCGCUGACGUAACGCUUAAUACCAACCACCCACUGAAUGCGCCCACUUUGCACACGCACACACACACACAUACGAAAACGCACACACACAGUUACACCUAUGUAUUUCCGUCUUGUUGAUUCAGUUUCAAUCCAGUCGCUUGGCAUCAGUUAAAGUGCACUCGGCUAUCUGCGUGGCCACCGCUGCCUAUCGCUAUCGAGAUCUAGAAUCUAGCCCUUUGUUUCUUGCAGUGUAUUGUUCCUAGAUUUGCUUAUGAAAAACAAAGAGCCCAAAUAAAAAUGACUUGACGUUUCA